rnacentral:tRNA from 1 species
GCCUAGUUAGCUCAGUUGGUAGUACGUCUGCCUUGUAAGCGCUAGGCCGCGGGUUCGAUUCCCGCCCGGGGCG